rnacentral:rRNA from 1 species
UUCGCAAUGCCCGAAAGGGUGAACGAGCGACGCCGCGUGCGGGAUGAAGGCCCUCGGGUUGUAAACCGCUUUUGCAAGGGAAAAACUUAAUGAUGGUACCUUGCGAAUAAGAGGUUACUAACUCUGUGCCAGCAGUAGCGGUAAUACAGAGACCUCAAGCGUUAUCCGGAUUUACUGGGCUUAAAGCGCGCGUAGGCGGGCCGGCACGUCCGUCGCUGAAAGCCCCCGGCUCAACCGGGGAACCGGCGGGGAUACGACUGGCCUGGAGGGGCGUAGGGGGACCUGGAACUUCCGGUGGAGCGGUGAAAUGCGUUGAGAUCGGAAGGAACGCCCGUGGCGAAAGCGAGGUCCUGGACGCCUGCUGACGCUGAGGCGCGAAAGCCAGGGGAGCGAACGGGAUUAGAUACCCCGGUAGUCCUGGCCGUAAACGAUGGGCACUAAGUAGAGGGGUUUU